AAGUCGUAACAAGGUUUCCGUAGGUGAACCUGCGGAAGGAUCAUUAAUGCUAAACAAAUACUUCGGCUCCUAUCUUCAGAGACGACCUUCAGCGCUCGUUCCCGAGUCUGAGCACUCUGUCGCAUACUGAGCCGUUGUUAUUUCGUAUCUAUCUUUAAACGCUCGAACUUUUGUUUGAUUACAAAAAUUCGUCGUGACAAGUAACCUGAGACUUUUUUUCUUAUUUCUUGCCCACAAGCGUUUUGUUGAAGAAUGUGCGUGGGGUGAAGAGAAAAAAGGGAAACUGUUCUCAAAAAUUAUUAUUUUAUACCAUAAUUACCCUAAUUUCUAUAAACUAUUAGACUGAUAUAAAAUAAACAUUUAUUUUAUAAAUGUGAAAAACAACUCUUAGCAAUGGAUAUCUAGGCUCUC
rnacentral:misc_RNA from 1 species